CGCCGAGCUAAGUGACUCUUGCUUGUAACCCAAGUGGGGGCACCAAGGUGGUGGGACAUCGGUUCGAUCCAUUUGGCAGGACUUGAUGUUGCAAUUUGCUGGCUCGCCCGUUCCAAGUUGAGAGUUGGGCCCUGUGGUUCGGGCUUAAGCUUGGGCCGUGGCCCUUAGAGCGGAGGGCAAUGCGUGAGGCUGGUUUCACAGAGCAGCGAAAACCUCCCGCUCUCAACAGUGGAAGGAUGACGUGUCGGUGCACCGCUAGCCCAGAUUGUCUCAUGGGUUGAAACCAGUUGAACCACCACCUUUUUGCGAAACAAACAUUGUGUGACAAAUUGCGUGCAAUUUUCGAAGCCGAAAAUCUUGUCCUCGAUAUUUCAGAACAUCAUCAUAAUAACAAAUUAACCAUGAAAUUAAGCACGUAUGCGAUCUAAUAUCAUAGAAAAGUUACCAUUUUAUCAGUUUGCUAAUUGUUUUUUGUUGUUAACCAAUAAAUAAAUAAAUAAUACUGUUUAAUUCUUGUUUAAUUAGUUGGUUUUUUGUCCAUGGCUAAACAAGAAGAGGUCCUAUAUGUUCAUGUGUAAGAUGGGUUAAGUUUAAUUAAUCUGAUAAAAAAGAGUGAUUAAGGAUUAAAAUUAGGGUUUUGUUUAGGAUUAAUUUGAUAUAUUCUUGCACAUCCUAUGUUUUUUGUCUUCAAAUAAUUCUUCGUAAAUAUAUGUUGAAGCACAAAUUUUCCAUCGCGAAAACAAAUCAUUAGUAUAUUUUUCAUUACAUGUAGAAGACACAGUCUCAGAAAACUAGGACAAAGAACUGAAGUUCUUCUGCAACUCUACACAACUGAAAGUAAGGCUCGCUCAAUGGAGCUCGAGUGUUUUUUGUAAACUUGCGUAUUUAGUGAGAGAGUAGGGACCUCAGAUUUAUACAGUAUACAAUGGAUUUCAAUAAGGAUCCCUCCCAUUAAGUGAUCCUUAUCUUUAUCAUCGUGAAACACUUAUGCGUUAUAUCAGUUAGAAGAAUUCUAUUUUUACUGAGAAUAUAUCUAACUUGAAACUUUAAGAAAUACAACUCCUGAUAAGUCUACCACAAGUGGCAAUCGUAAUCUCCAUAUCUUUCCGAAUGUCUUUGAUCAAAUAACCAAGUGUAUGCUCUCGUAUAUAACUUACAGAGAGAUCUGCAAAAGAAGCAGGAAGAGGACCAAGUGUUUGGGACUACUAUGCUUAGAAAUUCCCAGGUUUAUAUAUAUACCAGCUGUUAAGACAUAUUAUAAUGCAUGCAUGGAAUGAGAAACUCGGGUCUAGUAGAGCUAUAUGCGUUCAGAGUUGUGGCUUGCAUACAACCGGUAUCCAAUGAGCAUAAGAUCAUAUCUUCUACAAACAUGACUCCACUUUAGAGGAAAUAACAUAUAAUCGAAUUUUUUUGCUUACCAAAGUGUUCUUACUAAAAGUAAAUAAGCAACAUGUUCGAUCCGUUCCAUAGGACUGGCUGCUUUCUUUAUCUCGCUUUUCCUUUCUUAGUUUCUGUUUACAUCGGUGGGAAUAGUCAACAAGGGUGGUUUUAAAUAUAAUUACCCUACUCUAACUACUACCGAGGGCCUUUGUGGUAAAACCCUACACCUAAUGGAUUUGGCAUAUAGUAAAGUUGGGGACAAUAUCGGUGUCGUUAGAGUGGGACCCCCUGGCCCGUCAAUCUAAAAAAUUUCAACAGUUUCAUAUGCUCAUUUUGUUUUGUUUACAUCCAGGACGGAUUGCAGACCACACUAACAUGUUUAAAGCCAUUGAUUCAUACAAAGCGAUACAAGGUGAUACUUAAGUUUCUCUCGUCUUCGGCAUAAGAUUUAACCAAAAAUAUUUGUAAUUAUAGGAUGAAGUGAAGGCUCUAAGGAGCUUGGAGUUGAUUCUCACAGAUUUUCCCUCUCUUGACCUGGAUUCUCCUAAUAAGUAAUCAUAAUUUUACCUAGAUUUAUUGUCUGCUAAUAAGCAGUUUCAUGGAAGCUGCAUGUUUAUGUUUAAUCUCUACUAAAAUUUUCACUUUGUUCGAAAUUUACAAUGUUUAGACGGAACCUUGAAUGGUAGAGUAAACUAACAGAACAUCGAUCACUACGACAACUUCAUCGACGAACUAAUAAAAAAUUGUAUACAAUCUGUUCAAAAAAUUCCAUUACACUACAACAUUAUCUUUGUUAUAUUAUUAUAGAUAAGUUUGUUGAAUCUGUAUAUCCAGAAUUCCGCAGGUUUCUUUGAAAUCUCAUGAGAAUUUCAGUUGGAAUUUUGUUUACAUUUGUACUAAUUUGUACCUCAUCGACCACCGCAAUAUAAACACAGUGCUUUAUAUACGAAGUUACUUGUGCACUGUUCGCCGAGCUAUGUCACUCUAGCUUGUAACCCAAGUGGGGGCGCCAAGGUGGUGGGACAUCGGUUCGACCCAUUUGGUAGGACUAGUCGUUGCAAUUUGCUGGCUCGCCCGUUCCAAGUUGAGAGUUGGGCCCUGUGGUUCGGGCUUAAGCUUGGGCCACGUGGCCCUUAGAGCGGAGGGCAAUGCGUGAGGCUGGUUUCACAGAGCAGCGUAAACGUCCCGCUCUCAACAGUGGAAGGAUAACGUGUCGGUGCACCGCUAGCCCAGAUUGUCUAAUGGGUUGAAACCAGUUGAACCACCACCUUUUUUCACGUUCUUUUCGUAUUUCGUCGACCUUUUCUUUUUUUAUAAAAUUUCUAUGCACAAACUGCUUGCUGUACACACCAUAUUUUCCUAGCUCAUGCUUAACACAUUAGGGACGAACUCUAAGAGGUCGAUUAUUCGAGAACAUCAACAUAAUAACAGAUUAACCAUGAAAUUAGGGACGGAUUGCAGACCACACGAACAUCAGUUGGAAUUAAUAUGUACUAGAAGUCCAGAACCCUAAAUACCAAACUCCUAAUAUAGCCUGCGCUUAAUAUCUAGACAAGGUUAUCAUUUUCUCAGUUAAUUGUUUCCAAUCGUUGGCCAAAAAAUAAAUAAAGAAAAUACUGUUUAAUUCUUGUUAAAUUGUUUAUUGUUCAAGGCUAUACAAGAAGAGGUCCUAUAUAUUCUCGUGAACGAUGGGUUAAGUUUACUUAAUGUGAUAAUAAAGGGUGAUUAAGGAUUAAGACUAGGAUUUUUGUCUGGAGGUCAUGGAGUUCUUACCAUCAUGGUUAAGGAUUGUACAAGGGAUGUGGGCUAUUGCUUUUAUUAGUGCCUCUUUGUCACAAGGUUUGCAGUUUGUAAUUAUAAAAUUAACUUAGAUAAACAUCUGAAAUCUUAAAAUUGUUCUUGAUAAUUAUUUUUUGCUUUGUUUGCUCACCAUAUUGCAUCAACAACUAAGACAAAAAUUACAGGUGUGGAACAGUUCUUCACAUAGAAAUAUGUUGAAGCACUGACUUUCCUAUCGAGAAAACACGCCUUCGGUUUUUUUUUUGGUUAUUUUCAAGCUGCAUGCAUUAGGCAACUCAAACAUGAAAAAGGUAACUAAAUUUAAGUGCAUAUGUUGAUGCAGCUGAUGUGAAUGCUGAGAGCGAGUUUCAGCCAUUGCGAAAUGCAUCAAACCCUGAAGAACUAAAAGUGAAGAGGUCCGACUUCCCUAGUGAUUUCGUGUUCGGAGUCACCACUGCUGCUGCACAAAUGGAAGGAUCUGCAAAAGAAGCAGGAAGAGGACCAAGUGUUUGGGACUACUACAUUGAGAAAUUCCCAGGUUUAUAUAUACACACACACAUUAUAUAUAUCAGCUGCCAUAAGAUCAUAUUAUAAUGCAUGCAUUUCUUUUCUUAGUUUAAUAUGCUCGUUCUGUUUUGUUUAUGAUUUUUUUGUUUGCGAUCAGGACGGAUUGCAGACCACACGAACAUGUUUACAGCCAUUGAUUCAUACAAGCGAUACAAGGUGCAUAUCGAGCUAGCGAAAACCAAGUUUCUCUAGUCUUUGGGAUAAAUAUUUAACCAAAUAUUGUAAUUGUAGGAAGAAGUGAAGAAUCUCAAGGACCUUGGAGUUGAUUCUCACAGAUUUUCCAUCUCUUGGACCAGGAUUCUUCCUAGUAAUCAAUUUUACCGAGUUCUUUUUUUUAACGCUAAUUUUGUAAAUUAAAAUUGAGGGUUUUAUGAUUAAUCUCUACUAAACUCUUGCUCUAUAUAUGUUUGAAAUUCUCAAUGUGUAGAGGGAACCUUGAGUGGUGGAGUAAACCAAGAGGGUAUCAAUCACUACAACAACUUCAUCGACGAACUAAUCAAGAAUGGUAAGAAUCUCUGUUCAAGCAAAACCUUUAUAUUACGACAUUAAUUAAUCUUGUUAUAUAUUAUACAUAGGAUCCUUUUAUAUCAAUAUCGUUGAAUGAAAAAAAACUCCACUUCAGUCGAUUCGGACCUCCACUUAGUUUCACCCAAGCUUUGUUGAGCUUGUAUACCAGAAGGAUCCCAUAGAUUUCUGUAAUCUCAUGAAGUUCGACUCUAACAUCACAUGACGGGGUUAACUAUCACAUCAAAGCUGUUCUAAUAUUUCACUUUAAUGUAGACAUCACACCAUUUGUGACCAUAUUGCACUUUGAUCCACCACAAGCUUUGACAGACAAGUAUGGCGGCAUCCUCAAUCGCUCCUUCGUGUAAGCACCUUCUAAAUUACAUCCAUUUCAUUUCUCAUAGUUUAGGAUAAUAUAAAAUUUAGUCAUUGACAUAAAUUCUGAUAUUUCUUCAUCACGUUUUGCAGGAAAGAUUUCAAGGAUUACAGUGAACUUUGUUUUAAACUUUUUGGAGAUAGGGUGAAAAAUUGGUUUACAAUCAACGAGCCGUGGAUCAUGGCGAAAAUGGGGUACGACAAAGGCGUUGGUCCGCCGGGCAGGUGUUCUGUUCAAACUGUAUUUCCAUGCACAAAUGGUGGUAAUUCAGCCACGGAACCUUACAUUGUGGCACACCACCUUCUCCUUGCCCAUGCUUCAGUCGUUGAGCUUUACCGGAAGAAAUUUCAGGUGAAAUGCUCACACUGAAUCUGUUGAAAUGAAUGAAGCCUUGUCUUUUGAUUAUCUCAAAUUAAUGAGAUAAAUGUUCUUUCUUGGUUGAUAUUGGUUUUUAGGAUAAACAAGGCGGACAAAUUGGAAUUAGUCUUGUAGGACAAUAUGUCAUGCCUUAUUCGAAUUCGGCAGAAGACAAAGCUGCAGCAGAAAGAAUAUUAGACUUUGAACUUGGAUGGUUAGUAGAUAUAUCUACAUUGGUCCUAAAUAUACUUGCUCGAUUGGUAUAAGAAGUCUUCUAGUUGUAAAUUUUCCUAAAACAAUAUGAUGUUCUUGUUUAGGUUCAUGGAACCAUUAGUAUAUGGAUCAUAUCCAGAGAGUAUGAGACCUUUGGUCAAGGACAGGCUACCACAUUUCACCAAGGAGGAGGAGAAGAUGAUCAAUGGAUCCUUAGGUUUUGUCGGCAUCAACUAUUACUCCACAAGAUAUGGUAGAAACGUCCCAGCAAAACCACAAGGACCAAUCUCUUAUAGCGACGAUAUUUUAGCUUUGGCGUUGAUCACAAGUAAAUUUCAUAAUAUCUCAAUGUUGCUUCUUUUGUGUUUGCACGCAUGUGUUAUUGUGCCAUGGAAGGUUAAAUUGAUAGGACUUACACGGUUUUUUCAUGUUGUGAUUGUUGUAGAUGAAAACGGAACCCAAAUUGGUCCUAAGGUAUACAAAAGAGCAUGGACCCAUGCACAAGGAUGAUACGCAUAUAUAAUUUUGCACUAUGUAGUUUCCAUCUUUCUAUAUAUAGCAAAACUAAAUUCUUUCAUCCGUGUAGGCGGGAGGAAGUCGGUUCGUCUACAGUUACCCACAAGGCCUGGAACAACUUCUAAAGUUUAUGAAGAAGAAGUACCAGGACCCUAAAAUCUACAUUUCUGAACAUGGAAUAACCGAGGCAAAGGACGAUAAACUAAGACUUAGUGAUGCACUUAAGGAUCCACAUAGAAUUGAAUCCAUUCUUCGCCAUUUGUACCGGAUCAAGAAGGCAAUAGAGUAAGUCACUGCAAUCUAUGUUAACAAGUUUGAGGAUGCAUACAUGCAUUUACUUAUGUUGUUUCUGUCCUUGUUUUGGAAGGAGUGGUGUGAAUGUCAAAGGAUAUUUCCACUACACUUUAUCUGAUAAUUUUGAAUGGGGAGAAGGCUAUAUCCCAAGAUUCGGGCUUUACUACGUCGACUACAAAGACAAUCUCAAGCGCAUUCCUAAAGAGUCUGCUAAGUGGCUCCCUAAGUUCCUAAAGGGCGAGGCUUGAUGUACUCAAGUUCGAUAUAAACUCCAGAUGGUUGUCAAGCUCAUCUACUUUCUUGCACACAAAUGCAGAAAACUGUAAAGAAAGAGUGGUAGAAUAUGUACUAUAUAUGCCUUGAAUGUUCAGUUUUAUAGGCUUGGUAUUUCUGUGGGAAUGCCCUGUACUUUUAAUACUGGCAUAGGUUUGUAAUAUACUUGUUAUAUUGCGAGCAAAACAAUAUUACAUCAACUUCUUUGAUGGUCCAAUAUCCUAGUGGAUAGGGUGUUGGGUUUCACCCAUGCAUCUCGAGUUUGAAACUCCUCAUUCCCCUAAAUUAGUGGAAUAGUUUUGAACUUUCCCUUCUCCUUAAUAAUAAUAAUAAUAAUAAUUGAAAAAGAGAGGAGAGUUUAAGGGUUUCUUACACUCAAUGAAACAUGUGAAGCAAUUGUAUCUGCCAUUGCAAGGAGGCAGGAGUUUCUUAUACUAUUUUCCCUUAUUCCUGCUAUAAAUAAUUGGGUGCAUGGGAAGGGGGAUUAAAUUUUCAAUAGCAAAAACAUGUCUUCAGUUUGUUUUUCAUUAUUUUCAAAAAGAGCCUGUACUAGGCAACUGAAACAUGAAAAUUUAAGGGUGAAAAAAUUGACAUAGUCAUUACUUUAAGUGCAAGAAAAAAAAGUGACUAAGUUUAAGGGGACGUGUUGAUCAAUCGUUGCAGUUUCUGCGCAAAAUGCAUCAAACCCUCAAGAACUCAAUGUCAAGAGGUCCAACUUUCCUAAUGAUUUCCUGUUCGGAGUCACUACUGCUGCUGCACAAAUAAGGAUUUGCAAAAGAAGCAGAAAGAGGCCCAAGUGUUUGGUACUGUUGCGUUGAGAAAUUCCCAGGUUUAUAUAUCAGAUGUUUGGGACCAAGUGUUUUGUUUAUGAUUCUUUUGCAGACCACACGAACAUGUUUACAGCCAUCGAUUCAUACAAGCAGUAGAAGGUGCAUAUCGAGCAAGCAAUAAUUAAGUUUCUCUCGUCUUUGGCCUAAAUAUAUAACCAAAUAUUUGUAACUGUAGGCAGAAGUGAAGGCUCUCAAGGACCUUGGAGUUGAUUCUCACAAAUUUUCCAUCUCUUGGAACCGGAUUCUUCCUAGUAAGUAGUUAUAAUUUUACCUAGUUCUAUUGUUCCGCUAAUAUGCGGUUUCGUGGGAGCUACAUCUUUGAAUUAAAAUUUAUGGUUUAUUGGUUAAUCUUGCUAAACUUGUCCCACAUCGACCAUCGCAAAAUAUUUACAGCGCUUUAUAUGCCUAGUUACAUGUUCACUGUUCGCUGAGCUAAGUCAUGCUAGCUUGUGACCCAAAUGGGGGCACCAAGGUGGUGGGACAUCGGUUCGACCCAUUCGGCAGGACUAGACGUUGCAAUUUGCUGGCUCGCCCAUUCCAAGUUGUGAGUUGGACCCUGUGGUUCGGGCUUAAGCUUGGGCCACGAGGCCCUUAGAGCGGAGGGCAAUGCGUGAGGCUGGUUUCACAGAGCAGCGAAAACCUCCCGCUCUCAAUGGUGGAAGGAUUACGGGCCGGUGCUCCGCUAGCCUAGAUUGUCUCAUGGUUUGAGACCAGUUGAACCACCACUUUUUUUCCACAUAUAACCUUUUUUUUUGUUACCACAAAUUUGACAAGUAGAUUUCCCGAAAUAAUGGAAAACUUCGAUUCAAGUAGUUUAUGUUCUUGGGAUACAAGUUGUGGUAUUGUCCCUGUUAGUUCUCAUAUCGAAAUAAUAGAAAUCUUUUAUUCAAGCAAUUUAUGUACCUGCAUUACAAAUUUGACCAUAAUAAUUUCUCUAUUGGAUUAUAUGGGAAAUACGGGAAAACUUCUAUUCAAGCAAUUUAUAUAUGUACUUGCGGGCGAUUUUCCCUAUCAUGCUCCAGUCACGACAUUUGUACAUUUAGAUACUAUUACCAUACUAUCAAGAGGAUUAGCUGCCAAGAGUAUCUAUCCAGCAAUAGAUCCUUUAGAUCACCAUCAACUAUGCUCCAACCUCGGAUCUCCAAUGAAGAAUACUUGGUUUUUUCUUCUUGUUUUCAUCACAUAGCAGGUUGACUGUUACGCUAAAGAGUUUCUCAAAUUUCAAGAUUUAUAUUUUAUAGUACUAAUAACUAAGCUGCAUGUUAUUUACAUGGUGGAAGUUUAACAUCACACGACGGAUUGAUUGUUACACUGAAGAGUUUCUCAUAUUUCACCGUAUGAACUCCAGAUGGUUGACGUACCCAAGUUUCGAUAUGAACUCCAGAUGGUUGAUCAAGCUCAUCUUCUUCCUUGCACACAAUUGCCUAUAUGUGUUGAGUGGGAGAAAACUGUAAAGAAGAGUGUUACAAUAGGUACUAUAUAUGCCUUGAAUGUUCAGUUUCAUUGGCUUGGUGUUUCUGUGGGGAUGCCAUGUACUUUUAAAGCUUGUUUGGUAUUGUUGUGCUUUUAAAAAAAAACUGAUUAUGAUGUGCUGUAAAAAUAAUCAGCUGUAAAAUAAAACAGUUAAGUUUUUGGUAAACUUUUACUGAAAAAAAUGCUUUUAACAACAAAAAAAAAAAAAAAAAAAAAAACCAUGUUCAAGUGUUUGGUAAACUUUAUGUAAAACUACUAUGGUCAUGUUAAAUGACUAAAAGACUAUAAUAUUAAAUGUGAUAUAAUAAUUUAUUUUAUUUUUUAUUUAUAAUUUCAUCUUCAAUCUUCAUCAUUUUCUGAUCACAGUCCAGUUAUUGUUCAGUGCGAACCACGUACUGGGAAGAGGAAGAGGAUUUUCCGCUUUGAAGCUCACUGGGCAAAGGAUACAGAUUGCAAAGAAAUUGUGAAAAAAGCUUGGGACAAAUUCCGAGAAGGUAACUCUGUGGAGAGGUGGAAUCUAAAAAUCAAUGAGGCUCGCUCUAAUCUUUCCAAGUGGAGUAGGGAUAAGUUUAGACAGAGAUCGUGGCAAAUUCAGGAGUUGAUGUACCACCUGGGACGACUCCAACUAAAUUGGAGAUGCAACUCCCAUGAGAUAGAAGAGCUUACAAAGAAGGUUGAUCGUUUAUGGAGUCAGGAGGAGAGCGUUUGGCAACAAAAAUCAAGGGUGCAAUGGCUUAAGGAAGGAGAUGCGAAUACUAAGUUCUUCCAUCAAUCUACCCUACAAAGAAGAAGGCGAAAUCAAGUAAUAUCGCUUAAAAAUGGGAAUGGGAACUUGGUGGAUAAUCCAGGGCAGAUCCAACGCUUAAUUGAUGAUCAUUUUGUGGAAUUAUUCACUUCUUCGGGCAACAGGGAGUGGGGUGACAUGCUCGACUGCGUUACCUCGAAGGUUUCGGAGGAGAUGAAUGUUUCGUUAAUGGCUACGGUCUCUGUGGAGGAGAUUUAAACUGCUGCCAUGAAAAUGGGAGGACUUAAAGCUCCGGGUCCUGACGGAUUCCAAGGGAUAUUCUAUCAAUCACAGUGGGACAUAAUAGCUUUUGAUGUUAAUAAUAUGAUUGUUGAUUUGAUGAACGGGUCUUUGCAGCCUUUGCGAAUAAAUGCUACUCAUCUGGCUUUAAUUCCAAAGGUUCAAAAUCCGGAGUCUGUGUCUCAAUUUCGACCCAUAAGUCUUUGCAACUACUCCUACAAGAUUCUCUCCAAGGUCUUAGCCAACCGAUUAAAAAGACUGUUGCCGGUGUUGAUCUCCGCAACCCAAAAUGCGUUUGUGGAAGGAAGACAGAUUCAAGAUAAUGUCGGUAUUGCGCAUGAGCUUUUCCAUUUUCUAAAAAAUAGAAAGACAAAAUGCAACUUUGAGCUGGGAAUUAAAUUGGAUAUGCAUAAGGCAUAUGAUCGUGUGGAGUGGGAUUUUUUAAUGGCAGUUAUGGAGAAGAUGGGUUUUAAUAGUCGAUGGAGGAGUCUGAUUAUGGGAUGCAUUUCUACAGUGAAUUUUUCCAUUCUUCUGAACGGACAGCCAGGUUCCAAAUUCACUCCCUCAAGGGGGCUUAGACAGGGGGAUCCUUUAUCCCCUUAUUUAUUCUUGCUGGUCAGUGAAGUGUUAUCACUCCUUAUUCAAUGGGAGAGUGAUAGGGGCGAAUUGAGGGGAUUCAAAUGGACCGUGUCGGUCCCAUGAUAUCUCACAUUUUCUUUGCUGAUGAUACUUUGAUCUUUCUCAAGGCGGAGGCGAGGAAUUGUAGAAAUUUAGUCCAGGUUAUAGACGAGUAUUGCUCGGCCUCGGGUCAACAGGUAAAUAAAUCCAAAUCCAGUGUGUUCUUUGGGGGGAAUAUGCCGGAACCUUUAUCUAUCCAUCUGGCUACCAUUCUUGGGAUGGAGAAAGUAGGGGACCCGGGAGUUUAUCUGGAAGUGCCGGCCAUCUGGGGUAGAUAAAAAAGAAGUGGCCUUGCGUAUGUAAAGGGAAGGCUAGGAAAAAUUCAAGGUUGGAAACGCUCCACUCUCUCACAAGCGGGGCAGGAAGUUUUAAUUAAGGCAGUGGCGCAAGCAGUUCCGACAUAUCCUAUGAAUCUCUUCAAGUUUCCUAAGAUUUUUUGCAAUGAUCUGGAUGCUUUGAUAUCCAAGUUUUGGUGGGGGCAAAAAGAAUGGGAGAACUGGAUUCACUGGGUUUCUAAGGAACAAAUGGGGAAAUCAAAGAAGAAGGUGGGCUAGGCUUGAGGUGCUUUACGGAGUUCAACGACGCUCUUUUGGCGAAACAGUGUUGGAGGUUGUUAUUGGAACCAAACUCUUUGUGGGCGUCGGUCAUUAAAGGCCGAUACUUCCCCAAUUGUUCUUUUUUUCGACGCUAAGAGGGGUGGAAGAGCUUCAUGGGCAUGGUCAAGCCUCCUUGUUGGUAGAGAAAUACUUCGGGGUGGUGCUCACUGGCAGAUAAUGAAUGGAAAUGAUGUCAGGGUUUGGGUGGAUAGAUGGCUGCCAUCUAUCCUAUCAGGACACCCAUCUCCAUUGGGUUCGGUUCCUGUCUCUUUAAACCUUAGGGUGAAUUCUUUGUUAGGCACUGAAAAUGGAAGCUGGGAGAUUGAUUUCCUUAAACCCUUUCUGAUGGAGGAGGAGCUCAAGGCGAUUUACGAGACACAUUCGGGUGACCCGCUAUUGAAAGACAGAUUAGUGUGGCCUUUUGUGAAGAAUGGAAUCUAUUCUGUCAAAUCCGGAUACCAUUGGGCUAUGACCAGGACUCGACAACAACCAAUUGGAAACCCUCACAGAUCUGCCCUCUUCCCAAAGCAGGUUUGGGAGUGUGUUUGGAAGCUUGAGGUUCAGCCAAAAAUAAGAUCCUUUAUGUGGAAGACCUUACAAGAGGCAGUGGCCACGAAAGUAAAUUUGUUUAUGCGUCAAUCCUCUUCUUCAACAAUCUGCCCUAUUUGCAAUAGGUAUGAGGAAUCAUUGGUACAUCUUUUUCUCCAAUGUUCGUGGGUAGAGGAGGUAUGGCUUGGGGGAAGGUUAACUAGAGGCUUGCGGAGGGGAGCGGUCACAACUUGGGCUAAUUGGUUGGGUGAUAUUGUUGGUUUGGUAAAUGGGCAGACAAGUGUGAGGAACAACAUGCUUUCAUAUGUUGCUACCACAUGUUGGUAUAUAUGGAAGGCAAGAUGCAACUUUCUCUUCAAUCAACAACCUAUCUUUCCUCGGCAGAUCAUUGCAGUUAUCACCCAUUCUGUGGCUGCCUUCAAGGAAUCUUCUCAGGCUACGGUAAUUAGUUUGCCAAUUUCUGUCAAUGGAUCGGCUUCUGAUGUCCAUUGGUCUUCACCUUGUGUGGGUUUUAUCAAAAUUAAUGUGGAUGCAAGCUGGUUAAGGAGUGGGGCUUCGGGUUUUGUGGGUGUUGUGGCUCGAGACGAUGCGGGCAGGUUUGUGGCAGCGAACAGGAUGAGGGUCACGGCCUUUUCUGUGGCAGUGGAAGAAGCUUUGGCAGUGCUGCAUGGGUGUGAGUUUGGAAGAAACAUGGGAUGGAAUUUUGUCAUCGUGGAAUCUGACUUUCAGGAAUCCAUAUCCUGUAUUCGAGACUUGGAUACGAUGGGCAGUUGGGAAGCUUUCCCAAUUUUAGCGCGAUGCAAAAGAUUGGGGGAGUCUUUUAAUGACUGCCGCUGGUCUUGGAUUCCAAGAUCGGCCAAUAUGGCUGCGGAUCUUCUGGCGUUGCGGCAAAGUAGGGAGGUAUGUGAUAAUAUUUGGGUCAACAGACCCCCAUCCUCCCUUGUUCAUGUUCUGUGUAAUGAUGGUCUCCCUUGUCCCCAUUAAUUUCUUCCUGGCAGUAUGAGGAGUGACAUUUUUAGCAUUUGGUGCGAUGUCGUCUUUACCUCUUUGUACUGCUUUUCCUUAGUUGUUGCUGCUUGCUUUUGCCUCGAGGUAGGCUUCUUUGUAUCUUUGGCAUCUUUGCCCGGUUGUUAGUUAUUCCAGUUCGCCAAAAAAAAAAUCCCUCCCUCCAACCCUCUGUUCUCUCCCCUUCCCAAUCACCAAAAUCGCCGACCCUCGAGAGAAAGAGAGAGCAAGAAAUUCCGAGCUUCCGAAUCUCUCCAGCUCUAUGAUCGGAUUCCAAUCAGCCAAUCCGUCCAAUCAAUUUUGAAAAAACCCAGAAGAAAAAAAAAAGAAAAAAAAGGGAAAAUCGAAGCUUUUGAGUUUCAGUUCAAAGUAUAUAGCCACAGAGAGAUUCAAAUCCGUAGCUAAUGGAUGUAGACGGAGGGGGAAGCAAAUGGGUUUUCCACAGACUAGGUAGGCAGCAAUCCAACCCGUUAAAGAACCAGAAGGUACCAUUGGAGGGCAGGCAAGUGCAAUCGCCACCCUUACCCUUUUCUCCAUAGAGAGCUCCUGACGCCGCUAUCGCAGCAAGGUCUCAAUGGGACGGCCUCGACUAAACGCCGCCUUCGCCGCUAACACUGACGGUCCAUCGUCCCAGAAUCGGGGUCCAAAUAACUUCAAUGGAGGGGCUUCUUCGACAUGGGGCACCAGAGAAGAAAUUGUUGUUCGAAUUAGCGUGCUCCGGGCUCGAGACGAUGAAUUCUACCUGGGUUUUCAUGAGCUGUCUCUCUGUGUCAGUGAAUGGAGCUCUCUAAAUUCGACCGUGUCAAUGAAAUUGAGCUCUCUGAAUUCGACCUUGGUGCUUUUUGAAUUCAACCUUGGUAAUCAACAAUCGACUUCGAUGAGGGACCUCGUCCUCUAGAACAAUCGGAUUCGAUGAUUUGAUACAAUGAGGGAAGCGAGAAGGAGAAAGAGGGUAUAAUUGGGUUUAAGAAAGUUUCAUUAAACUUUACUGUUCAUCCGCCUACUUUGAAAAAUAAGCUGGCUUUGAGAAGCAACAAAAUGCUGCUUUCAUUUUUCUGCUUAUUUUGGCCGGAACUUUGAAAAAAAACACUUAUUUUUACAUUUACCAAACACAUUUUGCACCCCAACUUUUUUUCAUAGCUGCUUUUUUUAUAAUUUCAGUUGUGCCAAACUGGUACUUAAUGUUGUCUGAUAGACUACUGGCAUAGGUUUGUAAUAUACUAUUGUUAUAUUGCAAGCAAAACUAAUUUGUAAGCAAUGUCCAUCUGCUAGAAACCUUUGCUGAUUUUUUGGAUGCUAGACCCACUUUUCAUGGAUGUUGAAUUCCAAGAUAUAAUGUAUUAUAUGGGGUUCAAAAACUUAAAACUUUUUCUCUCGUUUUUGAAAACUUAUAACUUUUUCUCUCAUUUUUCUCUCUUCUGAAAAUAAAAAAGAAAAAAAACUUCUUUAAACUCGCAUCAAAUGCAUGACAUGUGUCUUUCCCCUCGUACUGGUUAGCGGUGAGCAUUAAACCGACCAAACCGACCGAUCCGAAUCAUAUUUGAUCAGUUUGGUUUGAUUUGAUUUUGAGCAAGAAAAAAGCCAAUCAAUUAAAAAAAUGAACCGAACCGAUUUACUUUUGAAACCGACCAAAACCAAAAUGAACCGAUUAUGUAUCUUUUAAUUAUUUAUCUAUUUAUUUUACACAUGUCAACUUAUUAUAGGUUACUUAGAGGCCUUACUAUACACAUAUUAUAAGUUGUAAUGAUAAUCUACACUUACGAGAUUUAUACGUAUUUUAUGCUUAUGUGAGGUAAUUAAUAAAUCGUUUCCUAGCAUGAGAUUUUAUUUAAUUGAAACGCAUUUCUAUUUUGCUUGAUCAAUUUUUUUAUGUUCAGAAAAACUUAACCCUUCAAUCGAAUUAGAAUGUCAGACAUGUGUAAAUAUUUAGAAGAUUAAAACUCUUGAAAUGUUGAGCAAUUUUUACCGAACCAAAUUGCAUCAAACCGAUGAACAAUGGUUUGGUUUUGUUAACAAUAGAAUAUUAGUUGGUUCGGUCAUAUAUUUGGUGUCAAACCGAAUAAAACCGAUCAGCGCCCACCCUACUAGGCUAGUACUGAUUUAUUAAACCAGAAAGCAUAAAUGGUGUUUUUCAUUCUUCUGCUAUACUAAUUUAUUCAUGUAAAAAAAUUGUGAUCGAAAGAGACCAAAAUACAAUGAAGUAAUAUAUAAUAAAUCAUAGCGCAUAAGUUUGUUUUUAUUCGUCUGAUUAGGUUGGUUAAAAAUGAAAAAUAAAAAGUAAAACUGAAAAUUAAGAUCACCGUUCAAACGUUGGAUUUUUAGUACUGCAAAAACUGUUUUAGCUACUUUUGCUUAGAAGCCAAAAAUCUUAUCCUCAAGAUUCGAAAACAUCAACAUAAUAACAGAUUAACCAUGAAAUUAAGCAUGUUUAGUUGGAAUUAAUAUGUACCUCAAGUCUUGAACCCUGAAUACCAAACUCCUAAUAUAGCAGCCUGCGCUUAGUUUCUAGAAAAGGUUACCAUUUUCUCAGUUUGUUAAUUGUUUCUAGUUGAUGAAAUAAUAAACAAAGAAAAAUUGUGUUUAACUCUUGUUAAAUUGUUGGUUUCUUGUUCAUGGCUAUACAAGAAGAGGUACUAUAUAUUCUUGCGAAAGAUGGGUUAAUUUAAUUAAUCUGAUAAUAAAGAGUGAUCAAGGAUUAAGAUUAGGGUUUUCGUUUGGAGGUCAUGGAGUUCUUACCACUAAGGUUAAGGAUUGUACAAGGGAUGUGUGCCAUUGCUUUUAUUAUUGCCUCUUUGUCACAAGGUUUGCAAUUAAUUUGUAAUUAUAAAUUAACUUCAACAUCUGAAAUCUUAAAAUUUCUCUUUAUAAUUAUUUUUUGCUUUUGUUUGCUCACCAUAUUGCAUUGCAUCAACUAAAACAAAAAUUACAAGUGUGGAACAGUUCUUCAUAUAAAAAUAUGUUGAAGCACGAUCUUUCCGAUCAAGAAAACAUGUCUUCGUUUUUUUUUUCUUCGUAAUUUUCAAGCUACAUGCAUUAGGCAACUCAAACAUGAAGAAAGGACUAAAUUAAGUGCUGUUGACGCAGCUGAUGUGAAUGCUGAGAGCAAGUUUCAGCCAUUGCAAAAUGCAUCAAACCCUCAAGAACUAAAAGUGAAGAGGUCCGACUUCCCCAUUGAUUUCGUGUUCGGAGUGACUGCUGCUGCUGCACAAAUGGAAGGAUCUGCAAAGGAAGCAGGAAGAGGACCAAGUGUCUGGGACUACUACAUUGAGAAAUUCCCAGGUUUAUAUAUAUAUCAGCUGCUAAGACAUUAUAAUGCAUAAAGUUCUUUUCUUAGUAUCAUAUGCUCGUUCUGUUUUGUUUAUGAUUUUUUUGUUUACAUUCAGGACGGAUUGCAGACCACACGAACAUGUUUACCGCCAUCGAUUCAUACAAGCGAUACAAGGUGCAUAUUGAGCUAGCGAUACCUUCGUCUUUUGGCAUAAAUAUUUAACCAAAUAUUCAUAAUUGUAGGAAGAAGUGAAGAAUCUCAAGGACCUUGGAGUUGAUUCUCACAGAUUUUCCAUCUCUUGGACCAGGAUUCUUCCUAGUAAUCAAUUUUACCGAGUUCUUUUUUUUUUUCUCCGCUAAUAAGUGGUUCUGCUAAUCUGUAAAUUAAAAUUGAGGGUUUUAUGAUUAAUCUCUACUAAACUCUUCCUCUAUAUAUGUUUGAAAUUCUUAAUGUGUAGCGGGAACCUUGAGUGGUGGAGUAAACCAAGAGGGUAUCGAUCACUACAACAACUUCAUCAAUGAACUAAUCAAGAAUGGUAAGAAUCCCUGUUCAAGCAAAUCCUUUAUAUUAUGACAUUAAUUUAUCUUCUUAUAUAUUAUACAUAAGAUCCUUUUAUAUCAAUAUCGUCGAAUGAAAUAAACUCCACUUCAGUUGGUUCGGACCUCCACUUGGUUUCACCCAAGCUUUUUUGAAUCUGUAUAUCCAGAAUGAUCCCAUAGAGUUCUGUAGUCUCAUGAAGUUCCACAUUAACAUCAUAUGACGGGGUUAACUAUCACACCAAAGUGGUUCUAAUAUUUCACUUUUAUGUAGACAUCACACCAUUUGUGACCAUAUUGCACUUUGAUCCACCACAAGCUUUGACAGACAAGUAUGGCGGCAUCCUCAAUCGCUCCUUCGUGUAAGAACCUUCUAAAUUACAUCCAUUUCAUUUCUCGUAGUUUAGGAUAAUAUAAAAUUUAGUCAUUGACAUAAAUAGAUAUUUUCUUUGUCACGUUUUGCAGGAAAGAUUUCAAGGAUUACAGUGAACUUUGUUUUAAACUUUUUGGAGAUAGGGUGAAAAAUUGGUUUACAAUCAACGAGCCGUGGAUCAUGGCGAAAAUGGGGUACGACAAAGGCGUUGGUCCGCCGGGCAGGUGUUCUGUUCAAACUGUAUUUCCAUGUACAAAUGGUGGUAAUUCAGCCACGGAACCUUACAUUGUGGCACACCACCUUCUCCUUGCCCAUUCUUCAGUCGUUGAGCUAUACCGGAAGAAAUUUCAGGCGAAAUGCUCACACUGAAUCUGUUGAAAUGAAUGAAGCCUUGUCUUUUGAGUAUCUCAAAUUAAUGAGAUAAAUGUUCUUUCUUGGUUGAUAUUGGUUUUUAGGAUAAACAAGGCGGACAAAUUGGAAUUAGUCUUGUAGGACAAUAUGUCAUGCCUUAUUCGAAUUCGGCAGAAGACAAAGCUGCAGCAGAAAGAAUAUUAGACUUUGAACUUGGAUGGUUAGUAGAUAUAUCUACAUUGGUCCUAAAUAUACUUGCUCGAUUGGUAUAAGAAGUCUUCUAGUUGUAAAUUUUCCUAAAAACAAUAUGAUGUUCUUGUUUAGGUUCAUGGAACCAUUAGUAUAUGGAUCAUAUCCAGAGAGUAUGAGACGUUUGGUCAAGGACAGGCUACCACAUUUCACCAAGGAGGAGGAGAAGAUGAUCAAUGGAUCCUUAGGUUUUGUCGGCAUCAACUAUUACUCCACAAGAUAUGGUAGAAACGUCCCAGCAAAACCACAAGGACCAAUCUCUUAUAGCGACGAUCUUUUAGCUUUGGCGUUGAUCAAAAGUAAAUUUGAUAAUAUCUCAAUGUUACUUCUUUUGUGUGUGCACGCGCGCGUUAUUGUGCCAAUGAAGGUUAAAUUGAUUGGAAUUUUUAAGUCUUACACGGUUUUUUCAUGUUGUGAUUGUUGUAGAUGAAAACGGAACCCAAAUUGGUCCUCAGGUAUACAAAAGAGCAUUGACCCAUGCGCAAGGAUGAUUCGCAUAUAUAAUUUUGUACCAUGUAGUUUCCAUCUUUCUAUAUAUAGCAAAACUAAGUUCUUUCAACCGUGUAGGCUGGAGGAAGUCGGUUCGUCUACAGUUACCCACAAGGCCUGGAACAACUUCUAAAGUUUAUGAAGAAGAAGUACCAGGACCCUAAAAUCUACAUUUCUGAACAUGGAAUAACUGAGGCAAAGGACGAUAAACUAAGACUUAGUGACGCACUUAAGGAUCCACAUAGAAUUGAAUCCAUUCUUCGCCAUUUGUACCGGAUCAAGAAUGCAAUGAAGUAAGUCACUGCAAUCUAUGUUUACAAGUUUGAGGAUGUAGUAUCCAUUUACUUAUGUUGUUUUUGUUUCUCCAGGAGUGGUGUGAAUGUCAAAGGAUAUUUCCACUACACGUUAUCUGAUAAUUUUGAAUGGGGAGAAGGCCAUAUCCCAAGAUUUGGGCUUUACUAUGUCGACUACAAAGACAAUCUCAAGCGCAUUCCUAAGGGGUCUGCUAAGUGGCUCCCUAAGUUCCUAAAGGGCGAGGCUUGACGUAGUCAAGUUUCGUUAUAAAAGCUCAUCUACUUUCUUGCACACAAAUGCAGAAAACUGUAAAGAAAGAGUGGUAAAAUAUGUGCUAUAUAUGCCUUGAAUGUUCUGUUUUAUAGGCUAGGUAUUUCUGUGGGAAUGCCCUGUACUUUUAAUACUGGCAUAGGUUUGCAAUAUAGUUGUUAUAUUGCAAGCAAAACAAUCUUACAUCAACUUCUUUGAUGGUCCAAUAUCCUAGUGGAUAGGGUGUUGGUUUUUCAUCCAUGCGUCUCGAGUUCGAAACUCCCUAAUCCCCUAAAUUAUUGUAAUAGUUUAGAACUUUCCCUUCUCCUUAAUAAUAACAUUUUAAGAAAGAAAAAAAAAGAGAGAAGAGUUUAAGGGUUUCUUACACUCAAUGAAACAAGUGAAGCAAUUGUAUCUCCCAUUGCAAGGAGGCAGGAGUUUCCUAUAUUAUCCUAUUUUUCCUUAUUUCUGCUAUAAAUAAUUGGCCCCAUGGGAAGGGGAUUAGUCUGUCGUUAAUGUGUGGUGGGAUACCUUCUAUACUCACGCAUUACUUUCUAAUAACAAAACGAAGCGAAAAAAACAGGGAAGGAGGAGUGCAAAACACCCAAACCCAUUUUAUAGAAAUUUGUAAGCAAUGUCCAUCUGCUAGAAACCUUUCAUUAUUUUUGGGAUCCCAGACCCAUAAUAACAGAUUAUGGGUUUGGUCUUAAUCAUGUCAUUAAUUUGUAUGUUCUAGAUUCAAGAACAUCAACAUAACAACAGAUUAAGCAUGAUGUUAAGCAUGUGGUUUGGGUCUUAAUCAAGUCAUUAAUUUGGACUUAAUCCCCUGUCUACUAAUGAUUCAGAGGGCAUCGAUCGUGUAAAUUACAAGUACGGAUUAAUGACUAGAUUUUGAUGAAUUGAUGAUGAACGGUAAGAAUCCAUCAUAAACAUUACAUUUUCUGGGAUAUUAUGGUUUACAAGCUAGAGUGUUAACUCCUCUUUUAUACAAUCAAAUCCUUAUAUCGAUGAUGUUGAUCUUAUUGUGUGUAAUUAGAUAGUUUUUUUUUUUUUUAAUUUUUUUUUAAUUUUUAAUAUUCAUAUCAAGAAUAUUUUAAGUUUUUCUGCAAUUUCAAAUGCAUUAUAUCGGUCACAACAUGGGCGGAGCCACUAAGGAACCAGAAUGGUCCCUAGCUCAUCAUGCCUUUUUUUCUUUCUUUCUUGGUACUCUAACAGAUGUUGCUGCUGCAUAUCAGUCUAAGAGAAUCUCCAAAAGAGAUGUCAAACUGUCUAAAUCAGCAUUAAUAGUAACAAAAGACAACAUUAAUGUAUUUUCAUUUUAUGUUUAAAAUUUGGCAUAUCGGUUGAAGAGUAAAACUUUAAAAGAUGUCAAAGUAACACGUAAGCCUUCAAAUUUAAAUUUUACAUUUAGAAUUUGACAUCUCCUUUGGAGAUUGUCUAAUACUCUUAAAAUUCAAUUGUAUUAUUAAUCCAAACUCUUUUCCGUUCCAUUGUAUUCUUAAUCCAAACUAUUUUCUAUUCCAGCGUCAUUUUUCUCUCAACAGUACCGAGAGCUUUUCGUUAAAGUCCCUUAUUGGAGUCCAGUCUUCACUUGCCCUCAUUAUUGUAUCAACUUUUCUUUAGCUUUAACAUAUAUUUUAAAUUUUUAUUGCUUACUUAACCUCAUAUUUGAGUUUUUAGGUUUGUACAAUAUUUUUAGUUAUCUCCAUUGAAUUUAGCGUCUUUCAAUUUUAAUGCAAAGUACUCUAAUUUUUCAUGUUUUAAGUUAAAAUUACCUAUGUUUUGAGAGACUGCCCACUUAUAAAAUCCUAAGAUUGCAAAAUGAGUGCUUGUACUGCCAGUGGCCAAUUGAACUUUGUCACAUACUUCUUUGUCCCAACACCGGCCAACAAGAAUUAUACCAAGCACUUAUAAAAUCCUAACAUCUCAUUACUUGUUCACUGUUCGCCGAGUUAGGUCGCGCUAGCUUGCAACUCAAGUGGGGGCACCAAGAUGGUGGGACAUCGGUUCAACUCAUUUGGCAGGGCUUUGCUGUUGCAAUUUGCAGGCUCGCCCGUUCCAAGUUGUGAGUUGGGUCAUGUGGUUCGGGCAAUGCGUGAGGCUGGUUUAACAGAGCUGCGAAAACCUCUCGCUCUCAACAACGGAAGGAUUACGGGUUGGUGCACCGCUAGCCCAGAUUGUCUCAUGGGUUGAG
rnacentral:lncRNA from 1 species